GCAUCCAUGGCCGAGUGGUCUAAGGCGGUAGACUCAAGUUCUAUUCUCGCAAGAGGCGCGAGUUCGAACCUCGCUGGAUGCA